CAGGGGGUAGUUUAUUAAAAUAUUAAUUUUGGGGAUUAAUGAUAAGAAAUUUCUUUCUCCUGA
rnacentral:tRNA from 1 species